UGGUCAGGCUGGUCUCGAACUCCUGACCUCAGGUGAUCCGUCCGCCUCGGCCUCCCAAAGUGCUGGGAUUACACACGUGAGCCUCCUCGCGCGGCCGCAUUACCCCUUCUCUAUCCAAUUUCUCUUUGGAGAAAUACUUCUCCACAGUGCCGCGUCUGAGUGGGAUGGUAAAUUCAAGGGCCAGCUCAGCUGUGAGGGGAGCUGGAGGGAUCCCCGAAUCUCCUUCCGCCAUCUUGAGCAAGGCUCCGAGGAGCUGCUUCUUGACUUUUCCAAGCUGGCUCUUCAGUCUUCCCUCCAAACUUGGGAGAUUUCCCAGAUUUUUCUAAUAUAUUACCCUAUGCUUUAUCUAGCCAGAGUUCAGCUUUUGUUUCUUGAAAUUGAAGACGCCUCCAUCUAUAAGAAAGAUUUACACCAGUGGUAGAAAAGAGUGGGAAGCAAGUCUUGUGGCGAGAUGGUGCCAUCCCGUAUUAAGAACUUUCGCAGCAGAAUGCCCAAAAUAUGUGGCAGGGUUGCGGUAAAGUCUUCAAAGCAGGCUGUUUCUCAGUCGCUGCGUGUGUUCAGUCAUGGGACUGUUUCCUUGGUAAGUGUCAUUCCUGCGGAAUGGGGCUGAACAAGGAACCUUCAGUUAUGUCAAAAACUGAUGAUUCCCACUGUCGCCACCAGAGGAUGUUCUAGGCACGUUUUUGUCAGCGCAGCUCACGUUGACUAAAAUAGCCAAUCCUUCCAACAGAAGUAGCAUAACGGCUCUGAGGAUGUGGAAAAUCUCAAUGUCAACAGCAGCUCGUAAAAUGGAAAAGAACAUGGCAUCAGCUAUGUGUUUAGAAAAGUCUGAGGCAUUUAGCCUAACUGUUCUUGAAUCAUUACCAUGAUACUGACAAGCAAAGUAUUUCUGAGGAACCUGUCGUAUUUAGGCCUUGACUGCAUGGCUAAUAGAGAAAAUAGCUUAGGCUACCCACACACCACAGUUCUUUUCAAGGUUUGGAAAGCAGCCAUUUUGGUUGAUACAUUUUUAAAAAUUAUUAUUUUAUUGCCUUAAUUCUUGUGCUGAGACUUGGGUAGGUAGAGACAAAGAAGAGAAAAAAGGAUUUUUUUUUAAAAGGGGAAUUUAGUCUAGUGUUCCUUAGAUAGGGAAAUCCUAGGAAGGAUUGAGAAACAUGCCUUACAUUCAUCCAAAAAAUAAACUAUAAAACACUAUCAAAAGGGUAGCAAGAUCACCUGUUAUAGAUAAGAGCUUUAAAAACCGAUAUGUAAUAGCAAGGUCUGUCAUCAAAUGUCAAGUGUCAGGCACUACUUAGAGGCUGAAUCUCACAUUGGUGCCAAGGAAUAUACAUUGAAGCUGAAAAGCAACCUGACUCCCAUCAGUUUGCCUCAUUAUAGAAAUGAUAUUCUUUUUGCAUGCUGCAAGAACACUGAAGGAUAUGUAAUAUAUAUUAAAAUGAGUAACUGUAAUAUGUUGUUGAAGGCAGAUCAUUUGCAUCUGUGUGCAUGUGUGUGUGCAUGCAAAGACUAAAAGCACAAACUAUAGUUUUCAGGUUUAACGGCAUGUUUUUUAAUAUCAUACCUAUUUUAUGGAAUAUUCUCUGCUUUUACUAAAAAAGGUGUAUUUUACAUUUAUUUUAUUGUGGUAAGAACACUUAAGAUGAGAGCUACUCUCUUAACAGAUUUUUCAGUGUGCAAUAAAGUGUUCUAAAGAUA